GAGUUUGAUCCUGGCUCAGAACGAACGCUGGCGGCGUGGAUUAGGCAUGCAAGUCGCACGUGAAAGAGGGGCUUGCUCCUCGAGUAAAGUGGCGAACGGGUGAGUAACGCGUGAGAAACCUGCCUUGAAGAGGGGAAUAACACUCCCAACGGGGUGCUAAUACCGCAUGUAUUCGGCGAGUCGCAUGGCUUGCCGAGAAGAGGUGGCCUCUGUUUACAAGCUACCGCUUCAAGAGGGUCUCGCGUCCGAUUAGCUAGUUGGCGGGGUAACGGCCCACCAAGGCGACGAUCGGUAGCUGGUCUGAGAGGAUGGUCAGCCACACUGGGACUGAGAUACGGCCCAGACUCCUACGGGAGGCAGCAGUGGGGAAUAUUGCGCAAUGGUCGAAAGACUGACGCAGCGACGCCGCGUGGAGGAUGACGCCCUUCGGGGUGUAAACUCCUGUUGCUCGGGACGAACCGUGGAAUUCAUUCCACCUGACGGUACCGAGUGAGGAAGCACCGGCUAACUCUGUGCCAGCAGCCGCGGUAAUACAGAGGGUGCGAGCGUUGUCCGGAAUCACUGGGCGUAAAGGGCGCGUAGGCGGUUUGACAAGCGUGCGGUGAAAGCUCGGGGCUCAACCCCGAGUCGGCCGUGCGAACUGUCGGACUUGAGCACAGUAGAGGCAGAUGGAAUUCCGGGUGUAGCGGUGGAAUGCGUAGAGAUCCGGAAGAACACCGGUGGCGAAGGCGGUCUGCUGGGCUGUGGCUGACGCUGAUGCGCGACAGCGUGGGGAGCAAACAGGAUUAGAUACCCUGGUA
rnacentral:rRNA from 1 species